GCAGCUCUGUUAGAUAGAGUUAUUUAAGAAACAAUUUAGUAAAGCAAAUCUUCAGAAUACUUCUUGUGUUGUAAACCUCUGUUAUUCCCUUAGCUUCAUCGUGCGAUUAAAUAAUUUAUCAGACAGUGUCCUCGCGUUUAGCGAAAUUACAAACAAUUUUAAAAAGGGACAUCUCAUGUCAAACAAAACUACUGGUAUCGUUAAAUGGUUUAACGAAGAGAAAGGUUUCGGUUUCAUUUCUCAAGACAACGGCGGCGCAGACGUAUUUGUUCACUUCCGUGCUAUCGCAUCUGAAGGUUUCAAAACUCUUUCUGAAGGCCAAAAAGUGUCUUUCGAAGUUGAGCAAGGUCAAAAAGGUCCACAAGCGUCUAACGUGACAGCUCUGUAAUCUUUUGAUCAGACACAAGUUGAUUCGUUCAGCUUGUGUCUAU
rnacentral:sRNA from 1 species